UACGAAGGGUGCAAACGUUGCUCGGAAUCAUUGGGCGUAAAGCGCACGUAGGCGGCUCCGCAAGUCGGAUGUGAAAUCCCUCGGCUCAACCAAGGAAGUGCAUUCGAAACUGCAGAGCUUGAGUACAGAAGAGGGUCGCGGAAUUCCCGGUGUAGAGGUGAAAUUCGUAGAUAUCGGGAGGAACACCAGUGGCGAAGGCGGCGAUCUGGGCUGAUACUGACGCUGAGGUGCGAAAGCGUGGGGAGCAAACAGG
rnacentral:rRNA from 1 species